AACGCGAAGAACCUUACCAGCUCUUGACAUGUCCCGUAUGAGUACCAGAGAUGGAACUCUUCAGUUCGGCUGGCGGGAACACAGGUGCUGCAUGGCUGUCGUCAGCUCGUGUCGUGAGAUGUUGGGUUAAGUCCCGCAACGAGCGCAACCCUCGCCCUUAGUUGCCAUCAUUUAGUUGGGCACUCUAAGGGGACUGCCGGUGAUAAGCCGCGAGGAAGGUGGGGAUGACGUCAAGUCCUCAUGGCCCUUACGGGCUGGGCUACACACGUGCUACAAUGGCGGUGACAAUGGGAUGCAAUGGGGCAACCCUGCGCAAAUCUCAAAAAGCCGUCUCAGUUCGGAUUGUGCUCUGCAACUCGAGCACAUGAAGUUGGAAUCGCUAGUAAUCGCAGAUCAGCACGCUGCGGUGAAUACGUUCCCGGGCCUUGUA
rnacentral:rRNA from 1 species